rnacentral:siRNA from 1 species
AAGACUCAUACGGACUUCGGCUAC